ACGGGAGGCAGCAGUGAGGAAUAUUGGUCAAUGGGCGGAAGCCUGAACCAGCCAAGUCGCGUGAAGGAUGAAGGUAUUAUGUAUUGUAAACUUCUUUAGCUGUGGAGCAAUAAUCUCCAUGUAUGGAGAGAUGAGAGUACACAGAGAAUAAGGAUCGGCUAACUCCGUGCCAGCAGCCGCGGUAAUACGGAGGAUCCGAGCGUUAUCCGGAUUUAUUGGGUUUAAAGGGUGCGCAGGCGGCUUUCUAAGUCAGUGGUAAAAUCGUGGUGCUCAACGCCAUCCCGCCAUUGAUACUGGAGAGCUUGAUUGCGGUCGAGGUUUGCGGAAUUCGUCGUGUAGCGGUGAAAUGCAUAGAUAUGACGAAGAACUCCGAUUGGGAAGCCAGCUUACUGUAGCGCCACUGACGCUGAUGCUCGAAAGCGUGGGUAUCGAACAGGAUUAGAUACCCUGGUA
rnacentral:rRNA from 1 species